rnacentral:rRNA from 1 species
CAUGGCUCAGGACGAACGCUGGCGGCGUGCCUAAUACAUGCAAGUAGAACGCUGAAGGAGGAGCUUGCUUCUCGGGAUGAGUUGAGAAAGGGUGAGUAACGCGUAGGUAACCUGCCUGGUAGCGGGGGGUAACUAUUGGAAACGAUAGCUAAUACCGCAUAACAGUAGAUAUCGCAUGAUGACUGCUUAAAAGGUGCAACUGCACCACUACCAGAUGGACCUGCGUUGUAUUAGCUAGUUGGUGAGGUAACGGCUUACCAAGGCAACGAUACAUAGCCGACCUGAGAGGGUGAUCGGCCACACUGGGACUGAGACACGGCCCAGACUCCUACGG